GGGAGAUCGGCGGCGGGCGAGGUUCUCGCCAACCCGGUCAGGUCCGGAAGGAAGCAGCCGUAACGAGUUUUGCCUCGGGUCGUUUGCUGGUCUCCCACU
rnacentral:SRP_RNA from 1 species